CCAAUAUAAUGUAUUUAUUUUUUAACGAUUUUUAACAAAAAAUUGUAGCCUAUACCAGGUCUCGAUUUAUAUUACAACGUAUUUUUACGGCAACAUUUUUCCUGUUGAUAGCUUAAUAUAUGUUAAGUAGACAGUCAUGUUUACGUUCUAUAGAACAAAUGAUUGAUUGAUAACGAACCGAGAAGCAAUUGUAAAGUUGUCCAAAAUAUAAUUAU